GAGCGACUCGUGGGCGUUAAGACUGGGCUCAGUUUGUGGCGCGCCUAGUGAUGGGAUGGCGCUGUGCAGGACGCCGACACAAAAAGAUGAAGCGUUCAACCCGUGCUGUCUGAACUCACAGUGUAGUGGGCGAGAUAGACGGGAGAAUCGGUAGGGUGGGAGAUGCCGGAAAGGCUUUCCGUGAGACUGGAUAAGAAAUCAAAAAUCUGGUGAAAUUGGCGGCAGGAGGGAGUUAAGGACAUUCCAGGCAGAGGCAAGCUAUUUGACAGACCAUGUGCUCUUUUGAACUUUGCCACUGCAUCACAACUAGACCCUGAACAGGAUGGAUUUCUGGACUUCUGAAAGUUGGUCCUUGCUGGCUGAUCCAGCUUCCCCGUCAGCAUAUGGUGAGCAGUUCGGUGAGAGGACCACACUUCCAAUACUGGCAGUCCAGAUUCCUAAGAUGAGGACACAGCAUCCUGGGCCACUGUCACUAAUACAAAUUUGCCUCUGGAGGGACUCUACGGAAGAUAAUUCCCCUGAAAUUUGGAGAGUUGAAUUAAGCUAGGACUGAUACUGCCUGGAAUUUGUGGUGGCUACCUACCCUAGAGGGCCUCAAGGAAACCCAUGGUUCAAGACAACCCUGACAGAUUCUAGAGUCUAGAACAGAACACCUGUUCUACCAGGGAUGGAUUUGAACAUGGGCAAGGCCAGCCACCCAGUUCACGGCCUGUGUACAGCAAAGAUUACAUUACAGCCUGAGAGCUAAGCCUGGAAGCUCUUUCAUCCAUCCGUUUGUCCAUCUAUCCAUCCAUCUGCUCAACAAAUGUUAGAGAAUCAAUCCUUGUGUCAGAUACUGGGGCUGCCCUCAAGGAGCUUUUAUAGAGUUCAGGGUACAGCCAGAUGGGGGAGACAGAUCACUAUAAAAACCUACCACUAUAAUCCAAAGGACAAGAGCAAAAAUAGUAAAGAGGAGAGAAGACCCAAAUUUGCCUGGUGGGUCAGAGAGGGCUUUCUAGAAGAGGUGAAAAAUCUUCGGGGCUAUCACUUCACCUUGCCCAGUGGAUAAAGGGAGGACUUUCCAGAUACAGUGGACAGAAUGUGCAGAGACAGGAGCCAUGAGUGGCAGGGAGGGUCUGCAGAGACAGGCUGGAGCCAAAGCACGAUGGCAUUGGAGCCACAGCCAAAGGAACAAACUGUGAGACCUGGGACUUGAAUUUGGAGGUGGUGAAAAGUGACAAGGUCUUCACAGAAGAGUGGUUUCUUCAACUUAUGGAAGGCUGACCCCAGACCAAUGCUGCCAAAGUGUGGUCUGUGGGCUGUUAGCAGUUCAUGACGAUGUAAGUACAGGAAUUGAGAGUAAGCAUUUAGAACACCUACAGCACUUUGAUAGUCAUUUUACUUUUUAAAUUUUGAGCUGGCAUUUUGUAUGCCUGUUUUUUUUUUUAUUUUUAUUUUUUUGAGGCAGUCUCGCUCUGUCACCCAGGCUGGAGUGCAGUGGCGCGAUCUCUGCUCACUGCAAACUCCGCUUCCCGGGUUCACGCCAUUCUCCUGCCUCAGUCUCCUGAGUAGCUGGGACUGCAGGCGCCUGCCUCCUCGCCCGGCUAAUGUUUUGUAUUUUUAGUAGAAACGGGGUUUCACCAUGUUAGCCAGGAUGGUCUCAAUCUCGUGACCUUGUGAUCUGCCUGCCUCGGCUUCCCAAAGUGCUGGGAUUACAGGUGUGAGCCACCACGCCCAGCCUUAUUCUAUUUUUCUAAUAGUUGCACUUUAUCAUAUUUUACAAAUGUGUGAGUCUGCUAUGGAUUAGAAAUUAAUAAGAGAUUUUGCCACAGAUAGUUUGAGAAGCCCAGCACUGCCACUCAACAAAUGCUGGUGCAUUCAGAUGGUGAAAUAUUCUGCAGCUAUUAAAGGAGUAAAAACUGCCUCCACUUACCUGGAGGCCCAUCUGUGACACCUUUUUAGGUUAAAAGGAAAAGAAAAACUUGCUCAGGACUGAACGUGAGUGGUUGCAAUUUUGUAACAAUGAUGUAUAUACAUAUACAUUUUCAUAUAUUUGUGUGAACAUAAAAGUAUUGAAGGAUAUUCAUCAAACUGCUAAAAGGGUUGCUUCAGAGUAACGGACUUGGAGAAGGCAGACUAAUUUUCUCUUAGUGGAACUCUGUAUUGUAUCACUUGUAAAAAUAAGCAUGUGUUAUCUUUAUGAUAAAAAAGUAAAAACCUAAAAAAG
rnacentral:antisense_RNA from 1 species